CGAACGAGCUGUAGUAUCAACCUACCUAUACCCAGUCGAUAAAACUCCGAGAAACCGGGGAUACUGGCGCUUAAACCGUAUAACCGCAUGGUCCUCAAGGGAAAGAGGGGUUUGGUAUUAUUUAUACAUGGACCCGCGCCGCCUUAGCUAAUUGGCUAGGUAAUGAGUUACCGAGUCAACGAUGCGUAGACGACCUGACAGGCUGAUAGGGCGCACUGGCACUGAGACACGGACCAGAGUCCUACACUCCGACGCAAGAGGGAAUCUUCCGAACUGCGCGAAAGCCUGACGGACUAACGGCGCGUGAGCGAGGGAGGGAUUCGGGUCGUAGAAUUCUGUUAUUAUGGAAGAACAUAUGAGCAAGUAACUGAGCACAUCGUGACGGCCCCGACUCAAAAAAACCCGAAUAACUACGUGCCAUACGCCGCGGUAAUACGGAGAAUACAAGCGUUAUCCGGAAUUAUUGGAUUUAAAGCGCGCAAAGGCGGUUUCUUAAGUCUCUUGUGAAAGACCACGAAUCCCCCGUGUCAGGCGGUUGGAAACUGUGGAAAAUUGAGUGCAGAGAAUGAAAGAGAAAAUACAUGUGUUCCGGUGAAAUGCGCAGAGAUAUGGAGGAACACCAGGGGCGAAGGCGACUUUCUGGUCUGUCUGUGACGCUGAUGAGCUGAGCGUCGAAAUCGUACAGGAUUAGAUACACUGGUACCCUGGCCGUACACGACGAGUGCUAAGAGUGCUGAGGGUUGCGGCCCUUCCGGCUGCAGUGAUGCAUUAAAGCACUUCACCCUGUCCAGUACGAGCGGUACGAUCGAACUGCUGAGGAUUCGACGGAGUUCCCGCACAAGCGUCGCAGCAUGGGAUCAAGUGCGAAGAAUCGCGAGACCUACCAACUCUAGCGUCCUGAGAUCACUCUGAACGAUCGAGAUAUCCCCUUCUGCCCCUACAGGGAAGUGGCAGCUGGUGCUCGUCGUCCGUGCCUC
rnacentral:rRNA from 1 species